rnacentral:rRNA from 1 species
AGUGAACGCUGGCGGUAGGCCUAACACAUGCAAGUCGAACGGCAGCACAGUAAGAGCUUGCUCUUACGGGUGGCGAGUGGCGGACGGGUGAGGAAUACAUCGGAAUCUACUUUUUCGUGGGGGAUAACGUAGGGAAACUUACGCUAAUACCGCAUACGACCUACGGGUGAAAGCAGGGGAUCUUCGGACCUUGCGCGAUUGAAUGAGCCGAUGUCGGAUUAGCUAGUUGGCGGGGUAAAGGCCCACCAAGGCGGCGAUCCGUAGCUGGUCUGAGAGGAUGGUCAGCCCCCCUGGAACUGAGACACGGUCCCGACUCCUACGGGAGGCAGCAGUGGGGAAUAUUGGACAAUGGGCGCAAGCCUGAUCCCGCCAUACCGCGUGGGUGAAGAAGGCCUUCGGGUUUUAAAGCCCUUUUGUUGGGAAAGAAAAGCAGCAGGUUAAUACCCCGCUGUUCUGACGGUACCCAAAGAAUAAGCACCGGCUAACUUCGUG